rnacentral:rRNA from 1 species
GUCGAGCGAUGAAAUUUCGACAGAUCCCUUCGGGGUGAAGAUGAAAUGGAUUAGCGGCGGACGGGUGAGUAACACGUGAGUAACCUGCCUUAGACAUUGGGAUAGCCUCGGGAAACCGGGAUUAAUACCAAAUGAAAUCACAUAUGCACAUGCAUAAAUGAUCAAAGCUCCGGCGGUCUAAGAUGGACUCGCGUCCCAUUAGCUAGUUGGUGAGGUAACGGCCCACCAAGGCGACGAUGGGUAGCCGGCCUGAGAGGGUGAACGGCCACAUUGGAACUGAGAAACGGUCCAAACUCCUACGGGAGGCAGCAGUGGGGAAUAUUGCACAAUGGAGGGAACUCUGAUGCAGCGACGCCGCGUGAACGAAGAAGGCUUUCGAGUCGUAAAGUUCUUUUAUAUGGGAAGAUAAUGACGGUACCAUAAGAAAAAGCCCCGGCUAACUACGUGCCAGCAGCCGCGGUAAUACGUAGGGGGCUAGCGUUGUCCGGAAUCACUGGGCGUAAAGGGUUCGCAGGCGGAAAUGCAAGUCAGGUGUAAAAGGCAGUAGCUUAACUAUUGUAAGCAUUUGAAACUGCAUAUCUUGAGAAGAGUAGAGGUAAGUGGAAUUUUCAGUGUAGCGGUGAAAUGCGUAGAUAUUAAAAAGAAUACCGGUGGCGAAGGCGACUUACUGGGCUCAUUCUGACGCUGAGGAACGAAAGCGUGGGUAGCAAACAGGAUUAGAUACCCUGGUAGUCCACGCUGUAAACGAUGAGUGCUAGGUAUCGGAAUAAUUCGGUGCCGCCAGUUAACACAUUAAG